UACGUAGGGUGCGAGCGUUGCCCGGAUUUAUUGGGCGUAAAGGGCGCGUAGGCGGCUCUGCACGUCCGUUGUGAAAUCGCCCGGCUCAACUGGGCGGGGUCAGCGGAUACGGCGGAGCUUGAGCAAGCUAGGGGGCAAUGGAAUUCCCGGUGUAGUGGUGGAAUGCGUAGAUAUCGGGAGGAACACCAGUGGCGAAGGCGGCAUCCUGGACCGGUAUUGACGCUGAGGCGCGAAAGCCAGGGGAGCAAACGGG
rnacentral:rRNA from 1 species